rnacentral:rRNA from 1 species
GUACACGCUGUGACUAGCAUAUCAAUAAGCGGAGGAAAAGAAACUAACAAGGAUUCCCCUAGUAACGGCGAGUGAAGCGGGAAGAGCUCAAAUUUGAAAUCUUAAAGGGUUUCCCUGUACGAAUUGUAGUUUAAAGAAGCGUUUUCUGUUGAGGUUUUGGUAAAAGUUCUUUGGAAUAGGACAUCAUAGAGGGUGAGAAUCCCGUAUUUGACCUUUACUUUCAACUUUGUGAUACACUUUCAAAGAGUCGGAUUGUUUGGGAAUGCAGUCCAAAAUGAGUGGUAAAUUUCAUCUAAAGCUAAAUAUUGGCGAGAGACCAAUAGCGAACAAGUACCGUGAGGGAAAGAUGAAAAGAACUUUGAAAAGAGAGUUAAACAGUACGUGAAAUUGUCAAAAGGGAAGCGUUUGACACCAGUGUUGUUUUUCUGAAAAUCAAUUAAAGAACUGUUUAUGCUAAGUUGUUUAGACUUUAUCAGCUAUCUGCUUAGUUUUGAGCUUUUCUUUAAUGCACUUUUCAGUUAACAAGUCAACAUCAAUUUCUUUUGCUGUAAAAAAGCUUGAGGGAAGGUGGCUUGAGAUUCGUCUUAAGUGUUUAUAGCCUCUUGCCUAUGCAGUCGGAGAGAUUGAGGUCUGCAGCGUAGAUCCUUCGGGGCUAAAUGCAUUUGUGCUAAGUUAUAACAUUUUAUAGACAACUUGUUGACUAUGAUUUGUCUUGUAGCUUACUCGCUUAUGUUAUUUUACCUACGCUUAGGAUGUUGACGAGACUGUCGAUCUC